GUUCCAGGUCGUCUAAUGGUCAGGAUAAUCUGCUCUCGCCGGAUUGGUCGGGGUUCAAUUCCCCGCCUGGACG